CAAUAGCAUAGGGAGAAAUUUAACUACAGACAGCUGACCAAAUUAAUCACUUGGCAGUUGGCAAGUUCAAAAAAUGUCACAGCUAAAAUCCUGCUCCCCUACAAAAUUUUGGGCAAACCUUUACUAUGCCUGGGCAAAAGUUGGCCCAAUCGAGCAGAAUUCCCUUUUGUCAAUUUAAUCUAUUCAGUUUAUCACAACAAAAGUAGACAGAGAAACCCCCUCAGUGUGCACAAGGAAAGCGAGACAAUUUUUUCACCAGUUACUGAAAUGAGGCAGAUCUUCACCCUUUGAACAGGUGAAUUCUUCACCACCUGAGGUGGCAUCAUCUCCCAUUUCCUCCUCAUUUUCAUCCUUGGCUGAUGUUGCCACAGCAUCUUCAACCUCCUCAGAAGCAUCCUCUUCAUUUGCAAAACUCCAUCCAGGAAUUACCUUUCCACCUUGUCUGAUGACACUACCAUUAUUGUAAAAACCUUGAGAACUGGUGUCUAAGUAAGUUCUCCCACCGCCUUCAGGGGUGAUUGUAUAAGGCCAUCCGAGACUUCCAUUGUUUCUUGCUCCUAAAAAGGAAGCUAAAGCACUUCUAUGGUCCAUUCCCUUAGCUUCCUGAGUCAAAACUGUAAAGGCAUCAUUUGUAACUCCAGUGUUUCCAUCAUUCUUUUCAACUCCAGACAUUUGCGUUUGAGAAAUUUCUUGGGGAACUUGAUUGGGGAAUGAUGGCACUAUCACAUUACUUCCAUUAAUUUGUGAUCACAUUUGAGA
rnacentral:misc_RNA from 1 species